UCAUAGUGGCGCACGGGUGCGUAACGCGUGGGAAUCUGCCUUGGGGUACGGAAUAACUCAGAGAAAUUUGAGCUAAUACCGUAUGAUGUCUUCGGACCAAAGAUUUAUCGCCCUGAGAUGAGCCCGCGUAGGAUUAGCUAGUUGGUGGGGUAAAGGCCUACCAAGGCGACGAUCCUUAGCUGGUCUGAGAGGAUGAUCAGCCACACUGGGACUGAGACACGGCCCAGACUCCUACGGGAGGCAGCAGUGGGGAAUAUUGGACAAUGGGCGAAAGCCUGAUCCAGCAAUGCCGCGUGAGUGAUGAAGGCCUUAGGGUUGUAAAGCUCUUUUACCCGGGAAGAUAAUGACUGUACCGGGAGAAUAAGCCCCGGCUAACUCCGUGCCAGCAGCCGCGGUAAUACGGAGGGGGCUAGCGUUGUUCGGAAUUACUGGGCGUAAAGCGCACGUAGGCGGCUUGGUAAGUUAGAGGUGAAAGCCUGGAGCUCAACUCCAGAAUUGCCUUUAAGACUGCCGAGCUAGCAGGUGAGAGAGGUAAGUGGAAUUCCGAGUGUAGAG
rnacentral:rRNA from 1 species